GCCUGGGUGGCUCAGUCGGUUGGGCGUCUGACUUCAGCUCAGGUCAUGCUCUCACACUCCAUGAGUUCGAGCCCCGCUUCAGGCU
rnacentral:tRNA from 1 species